rnacentral:rRNA from 1 species
AUGGCGCUGGAGCGGGGGACCUAUACUCCGCCGUUACGGCUUGAGAGCUUAAUAGCCUCCUGGCUGUAACGAGUAGGAGGGUUGUAACGGUUUGCGUUGAAGGCUUUGGGCGUGAGCCCGGCUGGAGCUUCCGUUAGUGCAGAUCUUGGUGGUAGUAGCAAAUAUUCAAGUGAGAUCCUUGAAGACUGAAGUGGAGAAGGGUUCCACGUGAACAGCAGUUGAAUGUGGGUCAGUCGGUCCUAAGCCAUCGGCUAAUGCCGUCAUAAACGAGGGUAGAGCUUCUUGUAAGCUUCUGCUCGGUUGGCGAAAGGGAAGUGGGUUAAUAUUCCCACACCAGGACACGGAGAUGACUGUUCUUUGAGCAGUCAAGGGCGGCAACGCAAACGAAGUGGAUUACGCUGCAUGAAGUCCGAGCCAGAGUUCUCUUUUCUGGUUUAGAGGUCUAAUCCCUGGAAAGGGUUCAGCCCAAGAUAGGGACGUUGGCCUCGUAAAGCACCGCGGUUCCUGUGGUGUCUCGUGCGCUUCAUGUGGUCCUUGAAACAUCCACGGAGCCUUAAUGAAUUUCGUGCCUGGCCGUACCGAUAUCCGCAGCAGGUCUCCAAGGUGAACAGCCUCUAGUCGAUAGAAUAAUGUAGGUAAGGGAAGUCGGCAAAUUAGAUCCGUAACUUCGGGAAAAGGAUUGGCUCUAAGGGUUGGGCCGGUAGGGCUGUUGUGCAAAACUUGCGGGCUUUGCCCAUGGCUGCCGGAGGCUUCGGUCGAAGGCGGACUAGCGGUAAGGCCUGCUUGUGGAGCGCUUCAGCUGCGUACUAGUUUCGGCUAGUACUUCUGCCGGCAAUAAACAACCGACUUAGAACUGGCACGGACUCGGGGAAUCCGACUGUCUAAUUAAAACAGAGGAGACGGAUGGUCCUUGCGGACGUUGACCGUCUCUGAUUUCUGCCCAGUGCUCUGAAUGUUAACUUAAGGAAACUUAAUUAAGCGCGGGUAAACGGCGGGAGUAACUAUGACUCUCUUAAGGUAGCCAAAUGCCUCGUCAUCUAAUUAGUGACGCGCAUGAAUGGAUUAACGAGAUUCCCACUGUCCCUAUCUACUAUCUAGCGAAACCACAGCCAAGGGAACGGGCUUGGCAAAUACAGCGGGGAAAGAAGACCCUGUUGAGCUUGACUCUAGUCUGACUUUGUGAAGAAUCAUGAGAGGUGUAGCAUAAGUGGGAGACUUCGGUCGCCAGUGAAAUACCACUACUUUCAUCGAUUCCUUACUUAUUCGGUAAGACGGGAAUUGAACUUCAAUGUUCUUGAUUUUGGUGUUAAGGAUACCCACUUGGUGGGCGUCCGACCCGCGCCGACGACCGAGUCAGGCGGGGAGUUUGACUGGGGCGGUACAUCUGUCAAAUCGUAACGCAGGUGUCCUAAGGCGAGCUCAGAGAGGACGGAAACCUCUCGUAGAGUAAAAGGGCAAAAGCUCACUUGAUCUUGAUUUUCAGUACGAAUACAGACCGCGAAAGCGUGGCCUAUCGAUCCUUUUGAAUUAGAAAGUUUCUAGCAAGAGGUGUCAGAAAAGUUACCACAGGGAUAACUGGCUUGUGGCAGCCAA